rnacentral:lncRNA from 1 species
UAUGUAAUACUUAGCAGGAACCAGGAAGUGCUUUGAGAGUUCGUGUGUACUGGUUUCUUUAAUGCUCAAACAUUAAAGCCCUUCUCUCAUCCCCCCACUUUACACAUGAGGACACGAUGCUGAGGCAGUGGGAUGGCCACCCAGUCUGAAGAACUUCAGCUGGAGAAGCUCAAUCAUGAAUGCACCCCCUGCAUGAGAACCAACUUUGGAUUUGUAUGUCAGACUAAACCAACACUUCCAUCUUGGAUUUCUUCACAUCUAAGUGCAGUUUGCCACUCUCUGGAAAAUGCUCGGUCUUGGUUUUGCUCGCAGACAGUGGACACAGCAGACCUAGUUGGUGGUGGAUCCACACGGACUGGCACGUUCCAGAACUUUCUCACGUAAAAGCCUCUGGAAAUCCAAAUAUUUACAGUCCUGCACAGAGAAGAAACUUAAGGUGGUGAACGUAAUGAAUAUCCAGCCCCAUGGAAUUAUAGGAUGGACAGUUUCCCCGGCAGAUUCAACAGUGGUCACGAUAAGAAUAAUCAAUACAAAUUAGGGGACAGGCUUCUGUUUUAAUGCACUUAGUAACCAGAUCUCUCAUCCUCAAAUAAGUCCAACAGAGGACCACGAGCUCCUAAGCGCUGUUGUGUAGGAGUGUGUGUGUGUGUGUGUGUGUGUGUGUGUGUGUGUUCCCUUUCCUCUGAGGGAUUCUAUAACCCCCUUCAUUCUCCGCCUCUCUCAUGUUACAGAAAGGAGGUAAUUUUUCCUGGCCAUUUACUAAAGCUCAUUAAAGACUGACGAGAACAAACAAUGGUACUCCUCAGAGACGACCAUUCAAAGUCACUCUACAAUUCUGGGUUCUAAUACUUGAGACAAAUUAAUUAUUCCUUAGUGAAAAGUAUAUAAUUCCUAUUCUUCAUUUUUGGGGGGCGGGGUGGGGAAUAAUAAUGGGGGGUUUCUAUCUGAGUGAAAAGCUGCCCGUGCUGAAGGGAAAUAAGGAAAAAAAUGUGCGUUCUGAGAGGGAGCCAAAGCAAUUAUUCUGAUAAUAAUUCUAAGAAUAUUAAUGUCUUUUAAAAGUAGAUUGCCUUCAAAUAAACACGGAGGCUGAGGCAAUGGGAGGCUGGUUUAUUUAUUAAUCACUCCAAAUGUGCGUCCUUCUAAAUGAACAACUGCAUGAUCAACUUCGCCACACAUAUUCAAUUUAGCUAAGCAGCAACUGGCAAAUGUCUCAAAACUUUUGUAACCAGAGACUAAUUUGUUUAACACAUUUAAAAUGUUAUAUUGAUGUAAAGCCCUACAUAUUAAACUUCAAAGGGAAAAGCUCCCGAGAGUUCCUUGUUUUAAGAACACCACACUGGAAUCGAGACGAGACGGAG